ensembl:snoRNA
GGUCUGAAAAAAAAACAACAAAAAAAAACUUGUUAAAAUUAUUUUUAACACCAGCUGCCCCUCCCUUGUCAGGCUCCAGCCAUGCCAUGCCAGGCACAGGGCAGCGGACACCUUGUGGCUCCCCCCACUGGUGUUCCUGACAAGCCUAGGAGCCACUGUGGUUGGUGCCCAACAGCUGCAUGACCAAAGGACCUGUAGGCGGGGCAUGCUGGCGUCUGUGGGGCUGAUCUGACAUUGCCAAGCUGAGGCC